rnacentral:rRNA from 1 species
CUACGGGUGGCACCAGUAGGGAAUAUUGCGCAAUGGACGAAAGUCUGACGCAGCAACGCCGCGUGGGUGAUGGAGCUCUUUGGAGUGUAAAACCCUGUCAGUGGGGAAGAACCGUACCGGGAGUAACUGCCCGGUGCCUGACGGUACCCACAGAGGAAGCACCGGCUAACUCCGUGCCAGCAGCCGCGGUAAUACGGGGGGUGCCAGCGUUGUUCGGAUUUACUGGGCGUAAAGGGCGUGUAGGCGGACCUUCAAGUCGGGUGUGAAACCUGGUGGCUUAACCACCAGCCUGCAUUCAAUACUGUCGGUCUUGAGUACAGAAGAGGAAAGCGGAAUUCCAGGUGUAGCGGUGAAAUGCGUAGAUAUCUGGAAGAACACCGGUAGCGAAGGCGGCUUUCUGGUCUGAUACUGACGCUGAAACGCGAAGGCUAGGGGAGCAAACAGGAUUAGAUACCCCUGUAGUC